rnacentral:rRNA from 1 species
UACGUAGGGGGCAAGCGUUAUCCGGAUUUACUGGGUGUAAAGGGGGCGCAGACGGCGAUGCAAGCCAGGAGUGAAAGCCCGGGGCCCAACCCCGGGACUGCUCUUGGAACUGCGUGGCUGGAGUGCAGGAGGGGCAGGCGGAAUUCCUGGUGUAGCGGUGAAAUGCGUAGAUAUCAGGAGGAACACCGGUGGUGAAGGCGGCCUGCUGGACUGCAACUGACGUUGAGGCCCGAAAGCGUGGGGAGCAAACAGG